rnacentral:rRNA from 1 species
CGUAGGUGGCAAGCGUUGUCCGGAUUUAUUGGGCGUAAAGCGCUCGCAGGCGGUCUUUUAAGUCUGAUGUGAAAGCCCACGGCUUAACCGUGGAGGGUCAUUGGAAACUGGAGGACUUGAGUGCAGAAGAGGAGAGUGGAAUUCCAUGUGUAGCGGUGAAAUGCGUAGAGAUAUGGAGGAACACCAGUGGCGAAGGCGACUCUCUGGUCUGUAACUGACGCUGAGGAGCGAAAGCGUGGGUAGCGAACAGGAUU